UGAGCAAUCUGCCCUUCUCGUUGGAAUAAGCGUUGGAAACGACGUCUAAUGCCGAAUACGACCUCCUUUCGCAUGAUCGGAGGUGGAAAGCUCCGGCGGAGAAGGAUGAGCUCGCGGCCUAUCAGCUAGUUGGUGUGGGUAAUGGCCCACCAAGGCGACGACGGGUAGCCGGCCUGAGAGGGUGACCGGCCACACUGGGACUGAGACACGGCCCAGACCUCCUACGGGAGGNAGCG
rnacentral:rRNA from 1 species